rnacentral:lncRNA from 1 species
UCGCUUUGGCCUUGGUGCUGGAUCAAACACUUUGAACCUUGAUUGACGGGGGGGGUACUGGUGAUACACCAUGUUUCUUGUGCUCUCUUUAGGGGGGAGUACUGGUGAGACAUGCCUGAUUACACCAGUCACUACCCAUCAACGCCUCUCAACAAGGACUAGGGCUCCGUCGCUAUGGCAGGACCCCCGGAGAGCUCCCACGGUGCGGAAC